rnacentral:rRNA from 1 species
UUAAGCGACUAAGCGUACACGGUGGAUGCCCUGGCAGUCAGAGGCGAUGAAGGACGUGCUAAUCUGCGAAAAGCGUCGGUAAGGUGAUAUGAACCGUUAUAACCGGCGAUGUCCGAAUGGGGAAACCCAGUGCAAUUCGUUGCACUAUCGUUAACUGAAUACAUAGGUUAACGAGGCGAACCGGGGGAACUGAAACAUCUAAGUACCCCGAGGAAAAGAAAUCAACCGAGAUUCCCCCAGUAGCGGCGAGCGAACGGGGAGCAGCCCAGAGUCUGAAUCAGCUUGUGUGUUAGUGGAACGGUCUGGAAAGUCCGACGGUACAGGGUGAUAGUCCCGUACACCAAAAUGCACAGGCUGUGAACUCGAAGAGUAGGGCGGGACACGUGGUAUCCUGUCUGAAUAUGGGGGGACCAUCCUCCAAGGCUAAAUACUCCUGACUGACCGAUAGUGAACCAGUACCGUGAGGGAAAGGCGAAAAGAACCCCGGCGAGGGGAGUGAAAAAGAACCUGAAACCGUGUACGUACAAGCAGUGGGAGCACCUUCGGGUGUGACUGCGUACCUUUUGUAUAAUGGGUCAGCGACUUAUAUUCUGUAGCAAGGUUAACCGUAUAGGGGAGCCGCAGGGAAACCGAGUCUUAACUGGGCGUUAAGUUGCAGGGUAUAGACCCGAAACCCGGUGAUCUAGCCAUGGGCAGGUUGAAGGUUGGGUAACACUAACUGGAGGACCGAACCGACUAAUGUUGAAAAAUUAGCGGAUGACUUGUGGCUGGGGGUGAAAGGCCAAUCAAACCGGGAGAUAGCUGGUUCUCCCCGAAAGCUAUUUAGGUAGCGCCUCGUGAAUUCAUCUUCGGGGGUAGAGCACUGUUUCGGCUAGGGGGUCAUCCCGACUUACCAACCCGAUGCAAACUACGAAUACCGAAGAAUGUUAUCACGGGAGACACACGGCGGGUGCUAACGUCCGUCGUGAAGAGGGAAACAACCCAGACCGCCAGCUAAGGUCCCAAAGUCAUGGUUAAGUGGGAAACGAUGUGGGAAGGCACAGACAGCCAGGAUGUUGGCUUAGAAGCAGCCAUCAUUUAAAGAAAGCGUAAUAGCUCACUGGUCGAGUCGGCCUGCGCGGAAGAUGUAACGGGGCUAAACCAUGCACCGAAGCUGCGGCAGCGACACUAUGUGUUGUUGGGUAGGGGAGCGUUCUGUAAGCCUGCGAAGGUGACCUGUGAGGGUUGCUGGAGGUAUCAGAAGUGCGAAUGCUGACAUAAGUAACGAUAAAGCGGGUGAAAAGCCCGCUCGCCGGAAGACCAAGGGUUCCUGUCCAACGUUAAUCGGGGCAGGGUGAGUCGACCCCUAAGGCGAGGCCGAAAGGCGUAGUCGAUGGGAAACAGGUUAAUAUUCCUGUACUUGGUGUUACUGCGAAGGGGGGACGGAGAAGGCUAUGUUAGCCGGGCGACGGUUGUCCCGGUUUAAGCAUGUAGGCUGGUUGUCCAGGCAAAUCCGGAUAAUCAAGGCUGAGGUGUGAUGACGAGGCACUACGGUGCUGAAGUAACAAAUGCCCUGCUUCCAGGAAAAGCCUCUAAGCAUCAGGUAACAUUAAAUCGUACCCCAAACCGACACAGGUGGUCAGGUAGAGAAUACCAAGGCGCUUGAGAGAACUCGGGUGAAGGAACUAGGCAAAAUGGUGCCGUAACUUCGGGAGAAGGCACGCUGGUGUGUAGGUGAAGUCCCUGCGGAUGGAGCUGAGACCAGUCGAAGAUACCAGCUGGCUGCAACUGUUUAUUAAAAACACAGCACUGUGCAAACACGAAAGUGGACGUAUACGGUGUGACGCCUGCCCGGUGCCGGAAGGUUAAUUGAUGGGGUUAUCCGUAAGGAGAAGCUCUUGAUCGAAGCCCCGGUAAACGGCGGCCGUAACUAUAACGGUCCUAAGGUAGCGAAAUUCCUUGUCGGGUAAGUUCCGACCUGCACGAAUGGCGUAAUGAUGGCCAGGCUGUCUCCACCCGAGACUCAGUGAAAUUGAACUCGCUGUGAAGAUGCAGUGUACCCGCGGCAAGACGGAAAGACCCCGUGAACCUUUACUAUAGCUUGACACUGAACAUUGAGCCUUGAUGUGUAGGAUAGGUGGGAGGCUUUGAAGCGUGGACGCCAGUCUGCGUGGAGCCAACCUUGAAAUACCACCCUUUAAUGUUUGAUGUUCUAACGUUGGCCCCUUAUCGGGGUUGCGGACAGUGUCUGGUGGGUAGUUUGACUGGGGCGGUCUCCUCCCAAAGCGUAACGGAGGAGCACGAAGGUUAGCUAAUCCUGGUCGGACAUCAGGAGGUUAGUGCAAUGGCAUAAGCUAGCUUGACUGCGAGCGUGACGGCGCGAGCAGGUGCGAAAGCAGGUCAUAGUGAUCCGGUGGUUCUGAAUGGAAGGGCCAUCGCUCAACGGAUAAAAGGUACUCCGGGGAUAACAGGCUGAUACCGCCCAAGAGUUCAUAUCGACGGCGGUGUUUGGCACCUCGAUGUCGGCUCAUCACAUCCUGGGGCUGAAGUAGGUCCCAAGGGUAUGGCUGUUCGCCAUUUAAAGUGGUACGCGAGCUGGGUUUAGAACGUCGUGAGACAGUUCGGUCCCUAUCUGCCGUGGGCGCUGGAGAAUUGAGGGGGGCUGCUCCUAGUACGAGAGGACCGGAGUGGACGCAUCACUGGUGUUCGGGUUGUCAUGCCAAUGGCACUGCCCGGUAGCUAAAUGCGGAAGAGAUAAGUGCUGAAAGCAUCUAAGCACGAAACUUGCCCCGAGAUGAGUUCUCCCUGAGACUUUAAGUCUCCUGAAGGAACGUUAAAGACGAUGACGUUGAUAGGCCGGGUGUGUAAGCGCAGCGAUGCGUUGAGCUAACCGGUACUAAUGAACCGUGAGGCUUAACCUU